CAGCUUGUCAUGCUAGAGCACUUUUUCAAUGGGCUCCCCAACGACAAGGAGACGACGCAUUCGUAUGUCAUCCAUAUCAACUUUCGAUGCCACUUUCUGCGCCUAUCAUGGUGACCAUGGGUAACGUGGAAUCAGUUUGAAUCCCGGAGAAGCCGUCUGAGAAAUGGCUACCACAUGCAAGGAAGGCAGCGGGCGCGCAAAUGACGCACUCCUGAAGCGGGAAGGUAGUGA